rnacentral:rRNA from 1 species
CGGGAAUAGCCUCUCGAAAGAGAGAUUAAUACCCCAUAGUAUCUCGGAUUCACAUGGAUCUGAGAUUAAAGCUCCGGCACUUUGAGAUGGGCGUGCGGCUGAUUAGGUAGUUGGUAGGGUAACGGCCUACCAAGCCAACGAUCAGUAGCUGAUGUGAGAGCAUGAUCAGCCACACGGGCACUGAGACACGGGCCCGACUCCUACGGGAGGCAGCAGUGAGGAAUAUUGGUCAAUGGAGGCAACUCUGAACCAGCCAUGCCGCGUGAAGGAUGAAGGUCCUCUGGAUUGUAAACUUCUUUUAUAGAAGAAGAAACCCCAUUUUUCUAAGUGGGUUGACGGUACUCUAUGAAUAAGCACCGGCUAACUCCGUG